rnacentral:rRNA from 1 species
AUACGGAGGAUCCGAGCGUUAUCCGGAUUUAUUGGGUUUAAAGGGUGCGCAGGCGGCCAUUUAAGUCAGCGGUUAAAUCGUGGGGCUCAACCCCAUUCUGCCGUUGAUACUGGGUGGCUUGAUUGCGGUCGAGGUUGGCGGAAUUCGUUGUGUAGCGGUGAAAUGCAUAGAUAUGACGAAGAACACCGAUUGCGUAGGCAGCUGACCAGACCGCAAAUGACGCUCAUGCACGAAAGUGCGGGGAUCGAACAGGAUUAGAUACCCUGGUAGUCCGCACAGUAAACGAUGAAUACUUGUUUUCGGCGAUAUAGUGUCGGAGGCAAAGCGAAAGCGAUAAGUAUUCCACCUGGGGAGUACGCCGGCAACGGUGAAACUCAAAUGAAUUGGCGGGG